rnacentral:lncRNA from 1 species
CUUAUUUCAAAAUCUGUCGGUAAAGCCGUUGCUAAGAGUGGUGGAUCGUGUUAACAAAAGUAUCUCAACAUCUCUUAAUGGCGAUACCAUACUACACCAACAGUCAUCACCAUUGUCGACGUUUGUGAAUGCCAAAGUGGUCAAGAAUGAAGGCACGAAGUUAAUGAAAGGUAAUGAAAUAUUUGAUGUAAAAGGAUUGAAGAUGCUAGAGUCAGAGGCGAUUCACUUCUCUUUAUGCAAAUAAAUGGUAGUGAAUCGUAUUUGACCUUCUAUCCUCUUCUGCAUGAGAAUGAAUAACAAUAAUGGAUCCUUUCUAGCAAACGGCAAGGGAUCUUAAAUUUCCAUUCUCGGCCUUAUGUAAAGGUGUAUCGAACGGCAAUAAAUCUUCUUUACAACAUCGACGUCUUCCUCGAUCUUCCUGUGACCAAACGACGAUAUAUCUCCUUCUUGACGAUAUAUAUUAACUAAAAUGUAUAGGCUUUAAUACUAAAUG